CAAGUUAAAGCUAAUAGUAAGCGUUUCAUUUACACUGAAAAUUUUUCGUGCGAAUCGAGUAGUUUGA
rnacentral:tRNA from 1 species